GUUACAUAUAAAUUUUUGUGAACUCUAGAAUGGGGAUGUACAAGUAGGCUGCGUUUAGUUCGGACAUAAGUAAGAACUGUUUAUUCCAGAGAUAGAUAUAAGUUCAGGUAUAAACAGGAGCUAGACCAAUUUUGCAUUUGAAUGAAAAUUAGGUUGUUCCUAGUAAUAAGCUAAAUAGUGUUUGGAUGAUUAGAUUGAAACAAAGAAAAUAAGAGUUAUGAUUUUAAAUUAAAAUUAUUUUAUCUAACAAAUUAACAUCAAAAUAUUAUUUAAAAAUAAAUUAAUAAAUUUAAUAAUAAAAAUAUAUUAAUUAGUUAAUUAAUUAAUUAUAAAAAAAUAAUUUAAAAUUUUAAUUAGUUAGUAAAUUAUUUUAGUUAGAAAAUUAAUUAGAUUAAUAGAAGUAUUAAUGGUUGUAUUAAAAAAUACAUUAAAUUAUUAAUAAUUAAUUAUAAAUAAUAAGUUAAUUAAUUAUUUUAUUAUUUAAGUAAUAAAUAAUAAUUUAAAUAUAUUAAUUAGAUUAAUUAAUUAUUUAAUACUAUAAUUAAAAUUAUUUUUAGACUUUAAUUAAUCAUGUUCCCAUCUGGAAACAAACUUGUUUCUGGAAAAAUGGUGGAACAAUAGUUCCAGGCUUAUACCAGUUUAUUCCAGAAUUCAAAAAUUACUGUUCUCGAGUACCAAACACAGUGUUUGGAAACAAAAGGGGGAACAAAGGCUUAUUCCCCCCUUUGUUCCCGAACCAAAUGCUGCCGUAAAGUUUUUCUUUUUCUUUUGAAAUGAUUAUUUUGUGGUAAAAACUUUAUAAAGUAUU
rnacentral:lncRNA from 1 species